rnacentral:rRNA from 1 species
UACGAAGGGAGCUAGCGUUGUUCGGAAUCACUGGGCGUAAAGCGCACGUAGGCGGAUUUGCCAGUCAGGGGUGAAAUCCCGGGGCUCAACCUCGGAACUGCCUUUGAUACAGCAAGUCUUGAGUUCGAGAGAGGUGGGUGGAAUUCCUAGUGUAGAGGUGAAAUUCGUAGAUAUUAGGAAGAACACCGGUGGCGAAGGCGGGCCACUCGUCGUCCGACUAGACGCUGAGGUGCGAAAGCGUGGGGAGCAAACAGG